GAGGAUUGACAAUCCGGGGAAUGGCGAAGUCUGCGAGAGGUUGGGUCGAGUCGAGUCUAGACUUCCAGACGAAGUAACAGUAAAUGUGCUCACUCAGGUGCCUACUAGCUAGACUGCCGGUUGAGUACAACUGCCCGCGUAUCUAGCCCGAGACGGAGCCUCUGGUUACAGUAGUGAUUCUUGUCGACGACCGACUAGACGGAUGUGUGUCCGACGACCGAUGUGUGUCGACGACCGAUUAGAUGGAUGUAGGCGGUCCAUCUAGAUAGCGCAUGCAUAGGUGCACUGUUCUGGAUAGUCUAGCGUUGUUUCUAGACAAACAGGUGAUUCAUUGUUUCGCGGACUCGACACAAAGUUACAAGACAAAGUAGUUGCAUCGAUAUGUGGAAUUGUGUUGUGAGUCCAUUUCUUCCUAGCUAGAGUGGUAAAUUGGCAAUACGAGCCGGAUCUAGUAGGUGUGUCUAUAGCUUUGUUGUUACAGUUAGAUAUGUUGCUAGACAAGGUGUUUCCGCUCAUAAUUAGCUAAAGAGCUCAUUUUGUGCGCAGCAGCUGUCGGUGUUGUGGGGAAGAAAUUAGUGUCGGUUGUUGCGUGUGAAGUACGUUAUAACGUUGCCGUAUUGUCGCGGCUAAAAUCAGUCGUUCGUUGUUGUGGGAACAAGAUCAUUGGUGAACGAAGAUUGUUGCUAUCACGCGUUGUUUCGUUACUAUACGUCUUCUGUGUUUUGUUUUCUGGGAGCAAUCAGCGGUACGCUACAUUGUUUCACAGUCCAUCAUGUCUAGAGUAGAGCCUUUGCAGAGUUUAGCUAACAAUUUGAAGCUAUCUUCAGUACCUUUUGAGUUGUCAUGUUUGAAUAAACUAGAAACUAGA